AGAGUUUGAUCCUGGCUCAGGAUGAACGCUAGCUACAGGCUUAACACAUGCAAGUCGAGGGGAAACGGCAUUGAGUGCUUGCACUCUUUGGACGUCGACCGGCGCACGGGUGAGUAACGCGUAUCCAACCUUCCCAUAACUAAGGGAUAACCUGCCGAAAGGCAGACUAAUACCUUAUGUAAUUCUUAGAUGACAUCAGAAGAGAAUGAAAGAUUUAUCGGUUAUGGAUGGGGAUGCGUCUGAUUAGCUUGUUGGCGGGGUAACAGCCCACCAAGGCGACGAUCAGUAGGGGUUCUGAGAGGAAGGUCCCCCACAUUGGAACUGAGACACGGUCCAAACUCCUACGGGAGGCAGCAGUGAGGAAUAUUGGUCAAUGGGCGAGAGCCUGAACCAGCCAAGUAGCGUGCAGGAUGACGGCCCUAUGGGUUGUAAACUGCUUUUGUAUGGGGAUAAAGUCAAUCACGUGUGAUUGUUUGCAGGUACCAUACGAAUAAGGACCGGCUAAUUCCGUGCCAGCAGCCGCGGUAAUACGGAAGGUCCAGGCGUUAUCCGGAUUUAUUGGGUUUAAAGGGAGCGUAGGCCGGAGAUUAAGUGUGUUGUGAAAUGUAGACGCUCAACGUCUGACUUGCAGCGCAUACUGGUUUCCUUGAGUACGCACAACGUUGGCGGAAUUCGUCGUGUAGCGGUGAAAUGCUUAGAUAUGACGAAGAACUCCGAUUGCGAAGGCAGCUGACGGGAGCGCCACUGACGCUUAAGCUCGAAGGUGCGGGUAUCGAACAGGAUUAGAUACCCUGGUAGUCCGCACGGUAAACGAUGGAUGCCCGCUGUUAGCGCCUGGCGUUAGCGGCUAAGCGAAAGCAUUAAGCAUCCCACCUGGGGAGUACGCCGGCAACGGUGAAACUCAAAGGAAUUGACGGGGGCCCG
rnacentral:rRNA from 1 species